rnacentral:rRNA from 1 species
GACGAACGCUGGCGGCGUGCUUAACACAUGCAAGUCGAACGAAGUGGCGAACGGGUGAGUAAUACGUGGGUAACCUGCCCUCCUUUUUGGGAUACGCCUUGGAAACGGGGUCUAAUACCGAAUUAAGGGGGAUGGGCUCGCGGCUUAUCAGCGUGUUGGUGGGGUGAUGGGCUACCAAGGCGGUGACGGGUAUGCGGGCUGGGAGGGUGAACGGGCAAAUUGGGACCGGGAAACGGCCCAGAACCCUACGGGAGGGAGCAGUGGGGGAUAUUGCACAAAGGGCGAAAGGCUGAUGCAGCGACGCCGCGGGGGUGAUGACGGCCUUCGGGUUGUAAAGCUCUGUUCAUCGGACAGCGGUACCGGAAGAGAAAGCCACGGCUAACUACGUGCCAGCAGCCGCGGUAAUUC